rnacentral:rRNA from 1 species
AGUGAACGCUGGCGGUAGGCCUAACACAUGCAAGUCGAACGGCAGCACAGUAAGAGCUUGCUCUUACGGGUGGCGAGUGGCGGACGGGUGAGGAAUACAUCGGAAUCUACUUUUUCGUGGGGGAUAACGUAGGGAAACUUACGCUAAUACCGCAUACGACCUACGGGUGAAAGCAGGGGAUCUUCGGACCUUGCGCGGUUGAAUGAGCCGAUGUCGGAUUAGCUAGUUGGCGGGGUAAAGGCCCACCAAGGCGACGAUCCGUAGCUGGUCUGAGAGGAUGAUCGGCCACACGGGAACUGAGACACGGUCCAGACUACUACGGGAGGCAGCAGUGGGGAAUAUUGGACAAUGGGCGCAAGCCUGAUCCAGCCAUACCGCGUGGGUGAAGAAGGCCUUCGGGUUGUAAAGCCCUUUUGUUGGGAAAGAAAAGCAGCAGGUUAAUACCCCGCUGUUCUGACGGUACCCAAAGAAUAAGCACCGGCUAACUUCGUG